rnacentral:rRNA from 1 species
UACGAAGGGGGCUAGCGUUGCUCGGAAUCACUGGGCGUAAAGCGCACGUAGGCGGAUUGUUAAGUCAGGGGUGAAAUCCUGGAGCUCAACUCCAGAACUGCCUUUGAUACUGGCGGAUCUUGAGUCCGGGAGAGGUGAGUGGAACUCCGAGUGUAGAGGUGAAAUUCGUAGAUAUUCGGAAGAACACCAGUGGCGGAAGGCGGCUCACUGGCCCGGUACGUG